rfam:Rattus norvegicus chromosome 17, whole genome shotgun sequence.
GGAGAUUUAGCUCAGCGGUAGAGCGCUUGCCUAGGAAGCGCAAGGCCCUGGGUUCGGUCCCCAGCUCCG